UACGUAGGGGCCUAGCGUUGUCCGGAAUUAUUGGGCGUAAAGAGCUCGUAGGCGGUUUGUCGCGUCUGCUGUGAAAGACCGGGGCUCAACUCCGGUUCUGCAGUGGGUACGGGCAGACUAGAGUGAUGUAGGGGAGACUGGAAUUCCUGGUGUAGCGGUGAAAUGCGCAGAUAUCAGGAGGAACACCGAUGGCGAAGGCAGGUCUCUGGGCAUUAACUGACGCUGAGGAGCGAAAGCAUGGGGAGCGAACAGG
rnacentral:rRNA from 1 species